CAUGCAAGUCGAGGGGAAACGACAUCGAAAGCUUGCUUUUGAUGGGCGUCGACCGGCGCACGGGUGAGUAACGCGUAUCCAACCUGCCCACCACUUGGGGAUAACCUUGCGAAAGUAAGACUAAUACCCAAUGACGUCUCUAGAAGACAUCUGAAAGAGAUUAAAGAUUUAUCGGUGAUGGAUGGGGAUGCGUCUGAUUAGCUUGUUGGCGGGGUAACGGCCCGCCAAGGCUACGAUCAGUAGGGGUUCUGAGAGGAAGGUCCCCCACAUUGGAACUGAGACACGGUCCAAACUCCUACGGGAGGCAGCAGUGAGGAAUAUUGGUCAAUGGACGAGAGUCUGAACCAGCCAAGUAGCGUGCAGGAUGACGGCCCUAUGGGUUGUAAACUGCUUUUAUAAGGGAAUAAAGUGAGUCUCGUGAGACUUUUUGCAUGUACCUUAUGAAUAAGGACCGGCUAAUUCCGUGCCAGCAGCCGCGGUAAUACGGAAGGUCCGGGCGUUAUCCGGAUUUAUUGGGUUUAAAGGGAGCGUAGGCCGGAGAUUAAGCGUGUUGUGAAAUGUAGAUGCUCAACAUCUGCACUGCAGCGCGAACUGGUUUCCUUGAGUACGCACAAAGUGGGCGGAAUUCGUGGUGUAGCGGUGAAAUGCUUAGAUAUCACGAAGAACUCCGAUUGCGAAGGCAGCUCACUGGAGCGCAACUGACGCUGAAGCUCGAAAGUGCGGGUACCGAACAGGAUUAGAUACCCUGGUAGUCCGCACGGUAAACGAUGGAUGCCCGCUGUUGGUCUGAAUAGGUCAGCGGCCAAGCGAAAGCAUUAAGCAUCCC
rnacentral:rRNA from 1 species